AAGACCUUACUUCAUAGGAUCAUUUCUAUAGUAAGCUCUUCACGAGAUCAUCACACUAUGUGAGAUCACCACUAGCCACGAAGAUGAGAGGUGGCGCGGCGUCCUGAGCGUGAGGCGGGCGAUGGUUCCACUACCGUUAGCCCUCGAUGAUCGUUCACCUCUUCUUCGGAAGAGGCGUGGGACGUUGUCGCUUUCUGAGUGGU